rnacentral:rRNA from 1 species
UACGUAGGGCGCAAGCGUUGUCCGGAAUUAUUGGGCGUAAAGAGCUCGUAGGUGGCUUGUCACGUCGGGUGUGAAAGCUUGGGGCUUAACUCCAGGUCUGCAUUCGAUACGGGCUGGCUAGAGGUAGGUAGGGGAGAACGGAAUUCCCGGUGUAGCGGUGAAAUGCGUAGAUAUCGGGAGGAACAUCAGUGGCGAAGGCGGAUCUCUGGACAGUUCCUGACGCUGAGGCGCGAAGGCCAGGGGAGCAAACGGG